CGGGAUGUAGGGCAGCGGCAAGCCCGCGUGCUUCGGGGGCACGAGACCGUGGGUUCGAGUCCCACCUUCCCGA
rnacentral:tRNA from 1 species